rnacentral:rRNA from 1 species
GAGUUUGAUCGUGGCUCAGAUUGAACGCUGGCGGCAUGCCUUACACAUGCAAGUCGAACGGUAACAGGUUAAGCUGACGAGUGGCGAACGGGUGAGUAAUGUAUCGGAACGUGCCCAGUCGUGGGGGAUAACUGCUCGAAAGAGCAGCUAAUACCGCAUACGACCUGAGGGUGAAAGCGGGGGAUCGCAAGACCUCGCGCGAUUGGAGCGGCCGAUAUCAGAUUAGGUAGUUGGUGGGGUAAAGGCCUACCAAGCCGACGAUCUGUAGCUGGUCUGAGAGGACGACCAGCCACACUGGGACUGAGACACGGCCCAGACUCCUACGGGAGGCAGCAGUGGGGAAUUUUGGACAAUGGACGCAAGUCUGAUCCAGCCAUGCCGCGUGCGGGAAGAAGGCCUUCGG